AGAGUUUGAUCCUGGCUCAGAUUGAACGCUGGCGGCGUGCCUAACACAUGCAAGUCGAGCGGUAACGCGGGAGCAAUCCUGGCGACGAGCGGCGAACGGGUGAGCAAUGCUUCGGAAUCUGCCCUUUAGUGGGGAACAACCAACCGAAAGGUUGGCUAAUACCGCAUACGCCCUUCAUCUAUACCGGAUGUUGGGGAAAGCGGGGGACCGCAAGGCCUCGCGCUAUUGGAUGAGCCGAAGUCGGAUUAGCUAGUUGGUAGGGUAACGGCCUACCAAGGCGACGAUCCGUAGCUGGUCUGAGAGGACGACCAGCCACACUGGGACUGAGACACGGCCCAGACUCCUACGGGAGGCAGCAGUGGGGAAUAUUGGACAAUGGGGGCAACCCUGAUCCAGCGACGCCGCGUGUGUGAAGAAGGCCUGCGGGUUGUAAAGCACUUUUAGUGGGGAUGAAAAGCUCAGGGUUAACAACUCUGGGUCUUGACCUAACCCACAGAAAAAGCACCGGCUAACUCUGUGCCAGCAGCCGCGGUAAUACAGAGGGUGCGAGCGUUAAUCGGAAUUACUGGGCGUAAAGCGUGCGUAGACGGUCAUGUAAGUCGGGUGUGAAAUCCCCGGGCUCAACCCGGGAAUUGCAUUCGAGACUGCAUGGCUAGGGUGCGGAAGAGGGAAGCGGAAUUUCCGGUGUAGCGGUGAAAUGCGUAGAUAUCGGAAGGAAUAUCAGUUGCGAAGGCGACUUUCUGGGCCAAUACUGACGCUGAGGUACGAAAGCGUGGGGAGCAAACAGGAUUAGAGACCCUGGUAGUCCACGCUGUAAACGAUGAGAACUAGGCGUUAGUCCUACAGUUUGUGGGAUUAGUGCCGAAGCUAACGCGUUAAGUUCUCCGCCUGGGGAGUACGGCCGCAAGGCUAAAACUCAAAGGAAUUGACGGGGACCCGCACAAGCGGUGGAGCAUGUGGUUUAAUUCGAUGCAACGCGAAGAACCUUACCUACCCUUGAAAUCCUCGGAAUCCUGUAGAGAUACGGGAGUGCCUUCGGGAACCGGGUGACAGGUGCUGCAUGGCUGUCGUCAGCUCGUGUCGUGAGAUGUUGGGUUAAGUCCCGUAACGAGCGCAACCCUUAUCCUUAGUUGCCAGCACGUAAUGGUGGGAACUCUAAGGAGACUGCCGGUGAUAAACCGGAGGAAGGUGGGGACGACGUCAAGUCAUCAUGGCCCUUACGGGUAGGGCUACACACGUGCUACAAUGGGCAGUACAGAGAGUCGCCAAUCCGUAAGGCGGAGCUAAUCUCACAAAGCUGCUCGUAGUCCAGAUUGAAGUCUGCAACUCGACUUCAUGAAGUUGGAAUCGCUAGUAAUCGCGAAUCAGAAUGUCGCGGUGAAUACGUUCUCGGGUCUUGUACACACCGCCCGUCACACCAUGGGAGUGAACUGUACCAGAAGCGGGUAGGCUAACCUUCGGGAGGCCGCUCACCACGGUAUGUUUCAUAACUGGGGUGAAGUCGUAACAAGGUAACC
rnacentral:rRNA from 1 species